UGUAAGCGUAUACCAACGUUGUUGCAGUUAAAACGCUCGUAGUCGGAAUUUGGCAGUUCCGGAAGUGUGCACGUCGUGUGCGCACUUUGCGGGGACUGCUUUUGUGGUCUUGCGUAGGAUGAGGCACUUUCAUUAGUGAACGUCCUCACGCAACCACUCUUUACUGUGAGAAAAUCAGAGUGCUCAAAGCAGGCAUUUGCCGUGAAUGUAUUAGCAUGGAAUAAUAGAAUAGGACUCGGUUCUAUUUUGUUGGUUUGUUGGGACUGAGUAAUGAUUAAGAGGGACAGUUGGGGGCAUUUGUAUUUCGGUGCUAGAGGUGAAAUUCUUAGAUUACCGAAAGACAAACUGCUGCGAAAGCGUCUGCCAAGGAUGUUUUCAUUGA
rnacentral:rRNA from 1 species